CAGGGAGCCCGACGUGGGACCCGAUUCCAGGACUCCAGGAUCACGCCCUGGCCCAAAAGCAGGCACUAAACCGAUGAGCCACCCAGGGAUCCCGAGAAACAGUUUUUAAAGGGAGACUGAACAGUCACUCUAAAUGGAAGGAAGGAACAGCUUCACUGGACAAGUGACUUUUGAGCAACGCACUCAAGGAGGCAGGAAGUGAACGGAGCAGCCAUUGCAAAGGCCCUGUGGCUGCACAUGUCUGCCAAGGUUUCUGGAUCUGGGAAUUGAGUCGCAGGAGAAAACAGCCAAGGGAUGUGUGGUUGGGAGGACUGGCUGGCAGAUGUCCACUUUACCCCCUACGGCUGUGUGACCCACCAGAUCCUGCUCCCUGGCUCAGGACAUCAGUCAAGAGAGAAAGGCAUUCGGACGCCGGAGAUGAUGAGCAGAGGGGUGCUGAUCCGUCUGCAAGGAGGGAAGAGACUCGACAUGGACUUCCCAAUAUUGCCUUGGCCGGGGGUGCUAGGACACAUCAGAAAGGUGCUGGGACAUGUGGUGUCAUGACCACAUAUGUACAGAAACACGGCCAUACAGGCAUGGGCAUGUGAACACACAUCUGAAUGAAUGUGUUCUCGUAGGACCCUCUCUCCUCUUCCACGACUCAGGGAUGGGAGUGCAGGUCAUUUUUCCCAGAAUCCAGUGUCUGGCAUCUGCACAAAGGGAAUCCUGUGACAGGGAUGGCGGGGCUGGGCAUUCCUCUUGCGACAAGUGUUUGCAUCUCCCUGGUCUCCCAAACGGCAGACCUGGAAAGCUGGUUGAGAUUUUUCAGAGUGGCUACGACCACAGGGCCAUCUAUGUGGGAGACGGGAAUAUGGCCCCUGCAGGCUGGGAAAGAUUUUCUGUUUAAAGAGCAUCCCUUGGAUUUAUUUUUUUUAAAAGAUUUCAUUUAUUCAUAAGGGACAGAGAGAGAAAGGCAGAGACACAGGCAGAGGGAGAAGCAGGCUCCCUGCAGGGAGCCUGACGUGGGACUCGAUCCCAGGACCCGGGACCACACCCUGAGCUGAAGGCAGAUGCUCAUCCACUGAGCCUUCCAGGUGUUCCCAUCCCUUGGGUUUAGAAGCAUGAAUGUGUUCGUGCAUACUGACUUGUAAUACUUUGUUCCUUCCUAUUGAGCACCUUGAAUUCUUUGGAAAUAAAAGACUCUGGACCCUUUAUUCUCUACAGUAUGUGAUUUGUUGUACAUCAAUCGAACUGCAUUUUUUGGGUGUCCCAAACAGAACUUAUUUACGAAAUGGCCUGUACAGUGUCUGCCUGGCUGCACGGAGAAAGCGGGCCCUUCCUAAUCUGUGAGCCCUGCUUCUUCCUCCUGGCUCUGCAGCCUCGGAGCAGAGACCUUGGGGGUGCUGCUCCAUCUUCCUGAGGCUUGAGAGACAGUUUCCUAAGGGGGAGGGGAAUACUUACCCCUUUGGGAUAGGGAAGAAGUGCAAUGAGAAGACACACAGAAGAACCACGCGGCGCCUGGCCUGGAGAAGCUUCUUAGGAAAAGCUGCCUCUUUCUGAAUCAUCGAAUGAACAGAGCAGGACACUCCACGAUGUUGGAUCCUACCUGCGGCGACAGUGUAACAGCGCAGGUGACAGUGCAGAAUGCUGAUCAGGCAGCGUGGAGCAACCUGCCCUCCUUUCCAGCCCUUUCCUGUGCUGCACCCCGAACCUCCCCCACCCAGAGUCGAGAGUGUGCCUGUCUAUGAUUCCCAGUAAGUUCUUCACAUCCUAAAGCAACCAGCUUAACAGCCCCGGCGUGUGGACGAGGUCAUCAGUUCUGUGGAGCAGAUUGUUGAAUGCAGGGAGUCCACCUGGCUGGAAAGCAUUGGUGAGCACUUUGUUAUGCAUCUGAGAUACGGUCCCCGGUCCCC